GGAAGAGAGGGAUCUGUCUAUGACAGCUGUCAUUUCAUUGAUUUUUGAGGUUAAUUUGGCUGAUGUGACUGGACAGUUGUCACACAUCAUCCUCACUCACUCUGUGUUUGCACCUUCUUGUCCCUUGUAGGGGAUGGCAUAGCCUCUUUUUUU
rnacentral:snRNA from 1 species